GGGGACGUACCGGAUUCGACGAAUAGCUCUUUUAAAAAAUUGCAAGCCGAGCUUGAAAACUCGUUAAACUUUCAAAAAAUACAAAAGCAGUAAAAAACACUGCUCUUGCUUUUAGCGUCUUUGCGGACGAAUCUGGCUUCGGCCAGCCCGCUCUCGCAUUAGCCGCUUAAGCGAGUGUUCACCAAAUUGCUUCUCGACCGAUUUGGCUGGGCAUAAACCCGUCGGGAUUAGGUCAAUAAUUAGUGACUAAUGAUUACUGACCGAAACUAACCAGUCUUACUCAAAAGUUUUUUGUUAAUUUUUUAACUUUUGAGAAAAAUACAAAAUUAAAUAAGCUUGUAGAUAUUUUUUAGAUGACUUUUACGGACGCGGGUUCAACUCCCGCCGUCUCCACAA
rnacentral:tmRNA from 3 species